UCUAGAAAACCUUUAAAAAACUGUUGUGUGUCAAGUGCCUGGCCUGCACAGCUAUUUCUUUUAUGGAGAGAUAAACCCACUCUGUUCUGCUCCGGGCUUGAUUGAAACCCUCCUCCCUGCUGGUCUGACUCUCACACACCAAGCCAGGAUUUCUGCUGCCCUAGCACUUCCCUGUGUCAGGUCCCGGGCCACUGGAGGUCAGUCCUCCAGCUCCACUCCCAUCUUCCAGGGUUGGCCUGGUGGGACAGGAAUGAUCAAGACAGUUUUUGCUUUCCUGCCCUGGAGCUUUCCCGCCCUGGAGCCUUCCUGCAAACCAGGAAAUAAUAUGAGAACACCUCUGACUCCGCCCUUAAACGGUUCAAGUCUGGCCACGCAGCCACCAAAUCUGCCAUUUCUCCUGGGUCCCCAGAGGCUGUGCAGUGCCUUUCCUUUGCAGCGAAAGAAAAACCUUUGGAGCUGCCGGCAAAAAGGGUGAAGCCAAGAUCAUAGAAAAGGCUACCCAGCCCUCAACCCACCUCUGCUCUUUGGGACUCCCCCAAUCCAGACUUCUGUAAGCUGUGUGUCACCCCCAUGAGGUGCAGUUCCAAGCAACAUUCCUGGGCGGACAUUCCUCAUCACUUGCAGGGCAUGUUCUCUACCAAUCUCAAAGGACAAAUUGAUCAGCUCCAGCUUGAGUUCUACCAGCUGCUCAGUAACAUCAAACACCUGACUGAACAGAAAGUGAUCCAGACCUUCCAUGAUGAUCUACAAUGGAUUGUUCCUAAGAACUUGUUCAAUGGACUGAAUUUAUGGGUUUGGGUCAUGGCAGCCCUUGGGUGCCUCCUUGUCUUUCUCCUUAUUUGUGUUUUACCAUGUAUAUGAAGAUUUUGUUCUGGAGAUUGCUUUUGGAAACAGCAAAUAGUAGGUUUCACAGGCUUAACAACUACAAUUGUGCUCAUAAACCAAAAAGGGGGAGAUGUUGGGAACCACCCUGCCUGGUUUCAGAAGCUGUACCCUCCCAUGGCUAAGGCUAAGUAAAAAGAACUUGGGACCACAAGCCAUUAUGGAGACAAAGCUUAUCCUCCUGUCAGGGGAAGAUCCUCUGCCCCCUUUAUUUCACCCUGCUUGGCCCGGGCGGAUGACUGGUUAGCCAAUGACGGGUAAGACUCCUCAGAGGAGGGGCAACCUAAGACAGGCACAGUCGCAAAGGGCCAUCAAGGGAAGGACAUCAGAUGACUGGUUAGCCAAUGACGGGUAAGACUCCUCAGAGGAGGGGCAACCUAAGACAGGCACAGUCGCAAAGGGGCCCUAAGGGAAGGGCUCAGGGGGCUAUACAAAAUGGUGGUCAUGGACCCUUGCUUCUUGGCUUUGACAUAGCCUGAGUCCUCAUUCUGUCUGCAAGAAGUCUCCUGAUCUCUUGGCUGCCAACAUCCCUCACCUGAUUUUAAGCCUGAAACAAUGUCAGAGGGAGGUGUGGCCCUGUACUAGAAUGGGCGGUUCCCUGGGGCAACCAGGCCUGAGAAACAAUGCAAAAAAUCUUGUGAAACCUGCUUUGCUAAGAUUAUACUCAAUUUAAAUGGUAAGGGUCCAAGCAUAAAAUGAGCUUGUUUCCCAAAGUUUUUUGGCCAUUUGGCUAUCUGACCCUGUCUCAGAAUAAGCCUUCAUAGUGCUUUGAAUGUUACCAUUUUUUGGAUCAUUACUGCCUGACAAGGAUUGAUGAGCUUUACAUAUAUGUCCUGUAUUCCUAUGCAAAUUAAACCCAAUAAAAGUCCAUUGAGCAACAGA